UGGGAAUUUGGACAAUGGGCGAAAGCCUGAUCCAGCAAUGCCGCGUGUGUGAAGAAGGCCUUCGGGUUGUAAAGCACUUUUGUCCGGAAAGAAAUCCUUGGCUCUAAUACAGUCGGGGGAUGACGGUACCGGAAGAAUAAGCACCGGCUAACUACGUGCCAGCAGCCGCGGUAAUACGUAGGGUGCAAGCGUUAAUCGGAAUUACUGGGCGUAAAGCGUGCGCAGGCGGUUUGCUAAGACCGAUGUGAAAUCCCCGGGCUCAACCUGGGAACUGCAUUGGUGACUGGCAGGCUAGAGUAUGGCAGAGGGGGGUAGAAUUCCACGUGUAGCAGUGAAAUGCGUAGAGAUGUGGAGGAAUACCGAUGGCGAAGGCAGCCCCCUGGGCCAAUACUGACGCUCAUGCACGAAAGCGUGGGGAGCAAACAGGAUUAGAUACCCUGGUAGUCCACGCCCUAAACGAUGUCAACUAGUUGUUGGGGAUUCAUUUCCUAGUAACGUAGCUAACGCGUGAAGUUGACCGCCUGGGGAGUACGGUCGCAAGAUUAAAACUUAAAUGAAUUGAC
rnacentral:rRNA from 1 species